GAUGAACGCUAGCGGGAGGCCUAACACAUGCAAGCCGAGCGGUAUUGUUUCUUCGGAAAUGAGAGAGCGGCGUACGGGUGCGGAACACGUGUGCAACCUGCCUUUAUCUGGGGGAUAGCCUUUCGAAAGGAAGAUUAAUACUCCAUAAUAUAUUGAACGGCAUCGUUUAAUAUUGAAAGCUCCGGCGGAUAGAGAUGGGCACGCGCAAGAUUAGCUAGUUGGUGAGGUAACGGCUCACCAAGGCGAUGAUCUUUAGGGGGCCUGAGAGGGUGAUCCCCCACACUGGUACUGAGACACGGACCAGACUCCUACGGGAGGCAGCAGUGAGGAAUAUUGGUCAAUGGGUGCAAGCCUGAACCAGCCAUCCCGCGUGAAGGACGACUGCCCUAUGGGUUGUAAACUUCUUUUGUAUAGGGAUAAACCUACCCUCGUGAGGGUAGCUGAAGGUACUAUACGAAUAAGCACCGGCUAACUCCGUGCCAGCAGCCGCGGUAAUACGGAGGGUGCAAGCGUUAUCCGGAUUUAUUGGGUUUAAAGGGUCCGUAGGCGGACUUAUAAGUCAGUGGUGAAAGCCUGUCGCUUAACGAUAGAACUGCCAUUGAUACUGUAAGUCUUGAGUAUAUUUGAGGUAGCUGGAAUAAGUAGUGUAGCGGUGAAAUGCAUAGAUAUUACUUAGAACACCAAUUGCGAAGGCAGGUUACCAAGAUAUAACUGACGCUGAGGGACGAAAGCGUGGGGAGCGAACAGGAUUAGAUACCCUGGUAGUCCACGCCGUAAACGAUGCUAACUCGUUUUUGGGCUUUAGGGUUCAGAGACCAAGCGAAAGUGAUAAGUUAGCCACCUGGGGAGUACGCUCGCAAGAGUGCAACUCAAAGGAAUUGACGGGGGCCCGCACAAGCGGUGGAUUAUGUGGUUUAAUUCGAUGAUACGCGAGGAACCUUACCAAGACUUAAAUGGGAAUUGACAGCUUUAGAAAUAGAGCUUUCUUCGGACAAUUUUCAAGGUGCUGCAUGGUUGUCGUCAGCUCGUGCCGUGAGGUGUUAGGUUAAGUCCUGCAACGAGCGCAACCCCUGUCACUAGUUGCCAUCAUUCAGUUGGGGACUCUAGUGAGACUGCCUACGCAAGUAGAGAGGAAGGUGGGGAUGACGUCAAAUCAUCACGGCCCUUACGUCUUGGGCCACACACGUAAUACAAUGGCCGGUACAGAGGGCAGCUACACAGCGAUGUGAUGCAAAUCUCGAAAGCCGGUCUCAGUUCGGAUUGGAGUCUGCAACCCGACUCUAUGAAGCUGGAAUCGCUAGUAAUCGCGCAUCAGCCAUGGCGCGGUGAAUACGUUCCCGGGCCU
rnacentral:rRNA from 1 species